rnacentral:misc_RNA from 1 species
GAUGAAGAACGUAGCGAAAUGCGAUACUUGGUGUGAAUUGCAGAAUCCCGUGAAUCAUCGAGUCUUUGAACGCAAGUUGCGCCCGAAGCCAUUAGGCCGAGGGCACGCCUGCCUGGGCGUCACACGUCGUUGCCCCCCCAUCUACUCCUUCGGGAUUGCGGGGGGCGGAUGAUGGCCUCCCGUGCGCCUCGCCGCGCGGUUGGCAUAAAUGCCAAGUCCUCGGCGACGCACGCCACGACAAUCGGUGGUUGCGAAACCUCGGUUGCCCGUCGUGUGCGGUCGUCGCGCAUCGAGGGCUCGAAAAAAUUGCCGGGUUCCGGCUCGGCUUUCAACGCGACCCCAGGUCAGGCGGGGUUACCCGCUGAAUUUAAGCAUAUCAAUAAGCGGAGGA